UGACUGUGUGUGUGAGUGAUUGUAUGAGUGUGUCUGUCAGUGUAUGAUGAGUGUGUUUGUCAGUGUAUGAUGAGUGUGUGUCUGUCAAAUCAGUGAGAGUAUGUUGGUCAUUGAGUCUGUGUGUGACUAUCAGUGUGUCAGUCAAUGAGUGUCAAUCAGUGGGGGUCUGUCAGUGUCAAUGAAUGAGUGUGUCAGAUCAAUGAGUCUGUGUCUGUCAGUGACGUCUGUGUGUUUGUCAUUGAGUGUGUGACUGUCAGUGUGUACAGAGUGUAGUGGAGCAGAGCGCGGUACAGGAGCUUCUGUUUCCUGUACCUGGCCAGAC